rnacentral:rRNA from 1 species
GACGAACCGUGCGAACGUUAUUCGGAAUCACUGGGCUUAAAGCGUGUGUAGGCGGAUCGUUAAGUGUCUUGUGAAAUCCCACGGCUCACCCGUGGAACUGCUGGGCAUACUGGCGAUCCUGGGCCAACUAGGGGCAACUGGAACAAGCGGUGGAGCGGUGAAAUGCGUAGAUAUCGCUUGGAACGCCAACGGUGAAAACAGGUUGCUGGGGUUGUGCCGACGCUGAGACACGAAAGCCAGGGGAGCAAACGGG